rnacentral:rRNA from 1 species
AUUGAACGCUGGCGGCAGGCUUAACACAUGCAAGUCGAGCGGAGAUGAGGUGCUUGCACCUUAUCUUAGCGGCGGACGGGUGAGUAAUGCUUAGGAAUCUGCCUAUUAGUGGGGGACAACAUUCCGAAAGGAAUGCUAAUACCGCAUACGUCCUACGGGAGAAAGAAGGGGCUCUUCGGACCUGGCGCUAAUAGCUGAGCCAAAGUCGGAUUAGCUAGUUGGUGGGGUGAAGGCCUACCAAGGCGACGAUCUGUAGCGGGUCUGAGAGGAUGCUCCGCCACACUGGGACUGAGACACGGCCCAGACUCCUACGGGAGGCAGCAGUGGGGAAUAUUGGACAAUGGGGGGAAGCCUGAUCCAGCCAUGCCGCGUGUGUGAAGAAGGCCUUUUGGUUGUAAAGCACUUUAAGCGAGGAGGAGGCUACUUAGAUUAAUACUCUAGGAUAGUGGACGUUACUCGCAGAAUAAGCACCGGCUAACUCUGUGCCAGCAGCCGCCGUAAGAC